GAUGAACGCUGGCGGCGUGCCUAAUACAUGCAAGUCGAGCGAAUGGAUUAAGAGCUUGCUCUUACGAAGUUAGCGGCGGACGGGUGAGUAACACGUGGGUAACCUGCCCAUAAGACUGGGAUAACUCCGGGAAACCGGGGCUAAUACCGGAUAACAUUUUGAACCGCAUGGUUCGAAAUUGAAAGGCGGCUUCGGCUGUCACUUAUGGAUGGACCAGCGUCGCAUUAGCUAGUUGGUGAGGUAACGGCUCACCAAGGCAACGAUGCGUAGCCGACCUGAGAGGGUGAUCGGCCACACUGGGACUGAGACACGGCCCAGACUCCUACGGGAGGCAGCAGUAGGGAAUCUUCCGCAAUGGACGAAAGUCCGACGGAGCAACGCCGCGUGAGUGAUGAAGGCUUUCGGGUCGUAAAACUCCGUUGUUAGGGAAGAACAAGUGCUAGUUGAAUAAGCUGGCACCUUGACGGUACCUAACCAGAAAGCCACGGCUAACUACGUGCCAGCCGCCGCGGUAA
rnacentral:rRNA from 1 species